CUCUUCUCCUCUCCGAGCUAUUUGAAGACUCUAGGAGAGUUUAGAAUUAAAUAUUACGUUAAAUCAAGUUUGAGAUUGAAGUUUUAAAGUAGACUGGAUGUUUAGUAAUCAAAAGUGACUAAGAAGUUAUCGGGUCUGCCUGCGGAUGCCCUUGAAGGACAAGAAUGGGUGAUUUGCAGCUCAUGGUUGGUUAGAAGCAGAGUAAAACAGUUACAUCAUUAUACUGCACUGAAGCACGUGCUUCCACAGUUAAAUAACCUAAAUUACUCUUAUGAAUUAAGAGAAGAGAGUCAAAGAGCUGUAUCUUGGAAGAAACUGGCAUGUUGCACUUAAAGGACUAGAGAAGAGAAGGAUGGAGUCAUAUAGAGACUCAACGUGACGGAGCCUCAAAAGCCAAAUGAAUGGUAAUUACUUUGAACACAAUGUGG
rnacentral:lncRNA from 1 species